rnacentral:lncRNA from 1 species
CACCCAUGGCAUAUGGAGGUUCCCAGGUUCGGGGUCCAAUUGGAGUUGCAGCCACCGGCCUAUGCGACAGCCACAGCAACACCGGAUCCAGGCCACAUCUGUGAUCAACACCACAGCUCACGGCAAUACCGGAUCCUUAACCCACUGAGCGAGACCAGGGAUCGAACCCGCAACCUCAUGGUUCCUAGUCGGAUUCAUUAACCACUGAGCCAUGACGGGAACUCCUACAUUCAGUAUCUUGUAAUAACCUAUAAUGGAAAAAAUAUAUAUAUAUGGUGUAUAUACACACACGCAUAUAUAAAUAAACAUAUGUAUACACACACACACAUAUAUAUGUACAUAUGUACAUAUAACUGAAUAACUUUGCUAUACACCUGAAACACUGUAAAUCAACUAUACUUCAUUUAAAAAAAAAAAAAGUGACUUCAUCAAACUUCCCUUGCUUCACACACCAUCAUAAGGGAGUCCUUUGGGGAAUUAUUCAGAAUUUACUUUAUUUCCACUUGGAAUUCCUCCACCUCCCUUAACUCCGUCUACCACCGGUUAAAGGUGACGGAUCAAACACUUCAAGUGUAACUAACUCAGAGCUGUGUCCAGUGACUGGGCUCACGGUCAGGGCCUGACAAAGGCCGUCUCCAGCCCAGCCCUGUCCUCACCCCGUUGGUUUCUGGCCCUCAGCCCUCUGCGCUUGGCAAACCUCACAGCCCUGGGUUAAGAACACAGCUCUGCCCAGCAGGUAGAGCAGGGCGGGGGCUCUGAAACACCACCUGGAAGCCAAAAGAAAUGAGACUCCAACAGUUACGAAGACAUUCCUGUUUCUGCCAACACUGCCAUUCCUUAGCUUCAGUUUUUCUAACCUGCUCCUUUUACCUUUCCUUACUUAACAGGAAAUUUCAGAAUUUCUGAACAGCUAAACGAGGGACCUGACAUUCUGUUCUCUAACUUGCUAUACAGGCUCAGAGACUGGGCAUGAACAAAUACCCCCAUGGAUGCUCAUUGAGUCUGUUUAUUUACAGGCUCCCUUCUGCAGUGCCAACACCUACACAGAUGCUGAGCAGAGUGAAAGACAAAUGAAACAGGUAUCCAGAGACCAAAAAAAAAAAACUGCCCUCCACGAAAAGUGGCCCAUACAAUAAGAACCAGGACUGCAGAGAGCUGAGCUCCCCAGAGGAAUGCCACAGGGAGGGUUGGGGACAAGACUCUGGAAGCAUUCAAAUUAACCACAAAGGACCUGAUUUGUUGGGACCUUCAUGUCCAAGAAUGCUUUUCCCUGAUUCAGCAAGUUUAUAGCUCUUCCAAAGGUUGGCAAGUGCUCCUUUGCUGAGGAGAGGCUGCCCCCUUCACAAAGAGGAAAGUCCCCAUGUGAAUCCAAAAUAACAUCUUCAGGGCAACCCACGGACGUCUCCACUCAAACAGGGCUGUCCAGAUGUGGCCUAAAAAUGGUGGUGGAGACCCCUUCAAAUCGGCAAAACCAGACCUCCGACUCAGACUUAAAAUCGCCAAGGGGCUCACUCCACUGGAGUCAGACCCAUAAAAAUAAUCUCGAUAUAGGAGCUGUCAGCCAGUGAGUGCUUAUCCCACACGCGGAAGUAGAUGCAUCCCAGCUCUAACUUGUGGCGUCUUUGCAGCCCCAGAUCCUGAGUUCUGCUAUUGUUCCCAUCUUACUAACUUAAAGCCUCUCAAGGUCAGCCUCUUUCCAAGGUCACACCCGCAGGUAGUGGAGCCAAGGGGCCGAGUGUCCUCAUUCUAUUGACUCUAGAGCCCAAGGUCAGCCUCUUUCUUCUCUAAGGUCACCUGCAGGUGGUAGAGCUGGGUUUCCUUGUUCUACUGUCUCCAGAGCCCAAGGUCAGCCUCGAUCUUCCCCAAGGUCACACCUGCAGGUGGUGGAGCUGAGUUUCCUUGUUCUCUUGACUCCACAGCCCAGGGUCUUGAGCCCCAGAUUCUCAAGGUCAGCCUCUUCCUCAAGGCCACACCUGUGGGCAGUGGAGCCGGCUAUCCUUGUUCUCCUGGCUCCAGGGUCCAAGCUCUCGAGUCCCUCGUGCUUUCAAAGAGUUUGUCCAACUCCAAACAACUGGCUGAAACUGAAGAGCCACUGAGAUGAAACCGGCCAAUCAUCCAGGCCCUCCUCAUCCCAGAGGCCAAGAGGGCACCCCAUCCAGCCACGAUUUUCACUUCCCAAGCAGCCUCCGCAGCAAGGAGCAGACACAGCCUCAGGGAACUCGCAAGUCUGAGAAGUGGGGGCUCGCAGGCUCCUUCCCAGAUGAACGCAAGGGCUGUGGUGCUUGUAAAAAUGUCAGCAAAGCCCGAUAUGUACCCAGCCAGUGGGCCCUGAGGUUUGUUCACCCUAUUACAUGACAAACUGCAGGAGGCAGGCCUCACAUUAACAUCCUUUCAUUAUCAUGCUAAGUGAAGUCAGUCAGACAAUGAGACACCAACAUCAAAUGCUAUCACUGACGUGUGGAAUCUGAAAAAAGGACACAAUGAACUUCUUUGCAGAACAGAUACUGACUCACAGACUCUGAAAACCUCACGGUUUCCAAAGGAGACAGUUUGGGGGGUGGGGGGGAUGCGCUGGGGGUGUGGGAUGGAAAUCCUAUAAAACUGGAUUGUGAUGAUCACUGUACAAUUAUAAAUGUAAUAAACUCAUUGAGUAAUAAAAAAGAAAAAAACUGAAAAUAUUGGGAAACUUGUCUUAAUGGUUCAUAUGGCUGAAAGGCAUGAGGUCUGUGAUUUCUCAAUUUACUUUUUUCAUCCUGGUGAAGGAGCCAAUGUAAUCAAUUGCAGAAAGGUUCCCGGUUCUUCAUGCAUCCUUGUCUGUGCCCCCUGCAGGGACUCUUCAGCUCAUUUCAUCUUUAGGAGGAGCUAUUUGAAUCUGGGCUAUCCUUGAGACUUGAUUUGGCCAAGAGAAUAUAUGGUGGAAAUGAAGCUCAAGACACACGAGGCCACCUUAUCCAGCCAGCCCCCGGGUGACCACAGGCCCAUAGACCAACUCAGCUCACAUCAGCUGAGUGUGAACCAGACCAGCAUAACCACCCAGCUGACCAUGGACUCAGGAGCUUAUUAUUGUAAACAACUGAGUUUUAGGGUGGCUUGUUACACAGCUAUAGCUAACAUACAACAGUCUCCUUAAAGUGCGAAGGGAGACAACUUGAGCUUGUUCUGAGCAACCCAUUUCUCCUAGUCCAUAAGAUAAUUUUUAAUUUUUUUUUAUUUUUUCUUCUCUUUUCUUUUGCAUUUUUAGGGCCACACCUGUGGCAUGUGGAAGUUCCCAGGCUAGGGGCUGAAUCAGUGCUGCAGCUGCUGGCCUACACCACAGCCACAGCCACAGCCACACGGGAUCCAAGCAGCAUCUUUGACCCACACCACAGUUCAGGGCAACACCAGACUUUUAAGCCACUGAAUGAGGCCAGGGAUCAAACCCGUAUCCUCAUGGAUACUAGUUGGGUUCACUACUGGAAUUCCCAAAAUAAUUUUUUUGAAAGAAAAAAAAAAAGCUGCCAUGCACAGACGAACUUAUCUAUAAAACAGAAACAGACUCACAGACUUAGAGAACAGACGUGAUUGCCAAGGUGGAGGGGCGAGGCAGUGGAUGGACUGAGAGUUUGGGGUUGGUAGAUGCAAACGAUUACAUUUAGAAUGGAUAAGCAAUGAGGUCUGGCUGUACAGCACAAGCAACUAUAUCCAGUCUCUU